rnacentral:tRNA from 1 species
CAAAAUAAAGCUAAAUUAGUAUAGCAUUUCAUUUACGUUGAGGAGAAUUAUCGUGCAAAUCGGUUUAUUUUGA